rnacentral:rRNA from 1 species
UCGAACGGGAUCCAUCGGGCUUUGCCUGGUGGUGAGAGUGGCGAACGGGUGAGUAAUGCGUGACCGACCUGCCCCAUGCUCCGGAAUAGCUCCUGGAAACGGGUGGUAAUGCCGGAUGUUCCACAUGAUCGCAUGUGAUUGUGGGAAAGAUUCUAUCGGCGUGGGAUGGGGUCGCGUCCUAUCAGCUUGUUGGUGAGGUAACGGCUCACCAAGGCUUCGACGGGUAGCCGGCCUGAGAGGGCGACCGGCCACAUUGGGACUGAGAUACGGCCCAGACUCCUACGGGAGGCAGCAGUGGGGAAUAUUGCACAAUGGGCGCAAGCCUGAUGCAGCGACGCCGCGUGAGGGAUGGAGGCCUUCGGGUUGUAAACCUCUUUUGUUUGGGAGCAAGCCUUCGGGUGAGUGUACCUUUCGAAUAAGCGCCGGCUAACUACGUGCCAGCAGCCGCGGUAAUACGUAGGGCGCAAGCGUUAUCCGGAUUUAUUGGGCGUAAAGGGCUCGUAGGCGGCUCGUCGCGUCCGGUGUGAAAGUCCAUCGCUUAACGGUGGAUCUGCGCCGGGUACGGGCGGGCUGGAGUGCGGUAGGGGAGACUGGAAUUCCCGGUGUAACGGUGGAAUGUGUAGAUAUCGGGAAGAACACCGAUGGCGAAGGCAGGUCUCUGGGCCGUCACUGA